ensembl:lncRNA
GCAGGUUCAACUCAAAUUUAUUUAAAUCUCAAACACCACUCAGCUCGAGCAGAGAUUAGAGGAAGGAUGAGGGGAACAGUCAACAUGAGCCUACAGCCCCUCCACUAAGCAGAGUAGAUAAUGAAGACCAGCACACACUAUCCCAGCAUCAGUGCCAAUGCAACGUCAGAGUAGAGAGAACAGCUCACAGAGUCCAAGCGUCAGUACUGACGGAACAUCAGAGCAGAGAGUUCCUUGUAGAGCACGCCGGGUAUUCUGGUAAUAUCAGGGAAGGAACUAGGGAACAGAAGUCUGGUGAAACAAGAGGUUGAGAGCAAGCAGAAGAGAAGACAAACUGAAAACACAAAACUGCAUUUGGAGCCUAAGAAAACUCAGCAGGACAUGACAAGACUAGAUGUAGGUCACACAGUGUAGCACAUUAACACCACAACAGUCAGACACAAGACUACACACGAGGGGAACUUAAAAAGAGGGAGAAUUAAGGAAUUAACAAGUCACAGGUGUGACGGCAGCUGAAGUAGUAAUUAAGAUAAUGAUGGGGAGGGAAGCACAAAGACAAUGAGCACAUGGUGAACGGUCAAAACACAACAACCUGCUGAUCAGGCCGAAGUCCCGGUUGUCUUCCACUCAUCCCCCUCAUGGAUAUGGACCAAAUGGUAGGCAUUGCCUUGCCCCCCUGUAACAAUUCAAAAGCAGGUGAUGUCAUUGAGAAUUAAUGCAAAGAUGCAGGGAGCCAUCCUUCUUAACAAAGAACCCAGCGCCAGCAGGUGAGGAAGAGGGACGGAUGAGGCUGGCAUUGAAGGAUUCCUUAAUAUACUUGUCCAUGGCCUCUCUUUCAGGACCAGACAGGGAGUACAAACGCCCUUUGGGCGGAGAAGUGCCUGGGAGGAGAUUGAUGGCACAGUCACACGGCCGGUGGGGAGGCAAGGACAUUCCCCGGGACUUACUGAAGACUCUGCAAAGAUCAUGGUACUCCGCUGGGACUCCGGAGAGAUCAGCAGCCUCCAUCUGAAACACGGAAGACAAGGAGACAGGAGACGAGGCAGCACCUAAACACGAAGCAAGACAGGACUGACUCCACGAUAAAACAGUUCCCUGACCAAUCCACAUGAGGGUUGUGAUGCACCAACCACAGGUGCCCCAGGACAACAGGAGCACCCGGGGAGUCAAGGAGGUACAGCUCAAUUACCUCACGGUGAUUGCCAGAGACCAUCAGACUUACUGAAGGAGUGGAGUGGGUGAUGGAGGAGAGGAGAAGGCCACUGAGGGACCGGACAGAGAUGGGAGAAGGGAAGGGAUGCCCCACUGUGCUGCAGACACAUCCAAGAAAUUGCCCUCAGCUCUUGAUUCAACCAGCUGGACAAGAGUGAAUGAUGUCCUUAUAUUGAACAAAGACAGGAAGUAGGGUACGAGACUUGGGGGACUCGAGACACGGAGAAGCGCCCAUCAGGAUCCCCUGGCUUACUGAUGGGCCCCAGCUUUUAAAGGACACCAGAUGGUUCGGUGUCCAGGCUUCCCAAAAUAUAGGCAAAGACCUCGAGCCAGUCAAUCCUGCGUCUUGACUGUGAGACGAAGGCGUCCCACCUGCAUGGGCUCUGGGUCGACUACAGAAGGUGCGGGCAGAAUUGGAAGCUCCCUCGCCCAACGUCCAGGAGGAUCGUGCAGUCCACCACUGACGGUGAUGCUGAAGAUGCCCCUCUAUGCGCAGUGCCAGUUCCACUAGGGAGUUGAAAUCACGAGACAGCUCAUGAGUAACAAUCUCAUCUUGGAUCUAAUCCUCCAGCCCCUCCGGAAACCUGGCGCGCAAAGCAGCUUCAUUCAAGUCACAUGUGGCCAACAGUGUUCUAAACUGGAUGGAAUAGUCUGUGACUGAG